AUUGAACGCUGGCGGCAAGCUUAACACAUGCAAGUCGAGCGGCAGCGAAGUAGUAGUAAUAAUGAUAUAUUGUUGUAUUACUAUGGUCAGCGAGCGGCAAACGGGUGAGUAAGAUCUGGGGAUCUGCCUAAUGAAGGGGGAUAACUGUUGGAAAUGACAGCUAAUACCGCAUGAUGUCUUAACAAAAGGACUAAAGUAGGGGACUUAAGAAAAUAUGCCUUAUGUCAUUAGAUGAACCCAGAUGAGAUUAGCUAGUAGGUAGGGUAAUGGCUUACCUAGGCUACGAUCUCUAGCUGGUCUGAGAGGAUGACCAGCCACACUGGAACUGAGAUACGGUCCAGACUCCUACGGGAGGCAGCAGUGGGGAAUAUUGCACAAUGGGGGAAACCCUGAUGCAGCUAUGCCGUGUGUGUGAAGAAGGCCUUAGGGUUGUAAAGCACUUUUAAUAAGGAAGAAGUCAAUAAUGCUAAAAACAUUGUUGGUUGACGUUACUUAUAGAAUAAGCACCGGCUAACUCCGUGCCAGCAGCCGCGGUAAUACGGAGGGUGCGAGCGUUAAUCGGAAUUACUGGGCGUAAAGAGUACGUAGGCGGUUUAUUAAGUCAGAUGUGAAAUCCCCGAGCUCAACUUGGGAACUGCAUUUGAAACUGGUAGGCUAGAGUUUUGUAGAGGGGGGUAGAAUUCCAAGUGUAGCGGUGAAAUGCGUAGAGAUUUGGAGGAAUACCAGUG
rnacentral:rRNA from 1 species